GAUGUAAUCGGCUGCAUCUAUGACAUCACCGCUGUCUGAGUCUUUGAGGGUUUGUGAAGGAGCGAGACAAGAUGUCUGAUCUCUAUGUAGCGAGUGUGUGUGCGUUCAGCGCUGUGAUAUGGGUGGGCUUUGCCCUAUAUAAAAUUUAUAGAAAGAAGAGCAGCCAUGCCUGGCUUAGGGACCUGGAGGCGGCGUCCGAAGAUGAGCCAUUGGCGUAUUACCAAGAGGAGUUUGACUUCUCUACUUCCGUCCUGAUCCUAGAGGAAGAGGAGUGAGAGGAGGACGUAAAAAGAACAUCAUAGAGCCUGAAGAACAUCAUCGGCCUAUAUAAUAAUCAUAAAAUAUAUAUCUAUAUAUCCAUAUA